rnacentral:tRNA from 1 species
AAAGCCCCCCCCCAGCCC